AGCGGUGGAUUCAGCAGCAGCAUUGGUGGUGAGUGCUUGGCCACCACGGCAAGUGCUUUGCCACAGUGGCGAGUGUUUCUUCCUCAGCAGCUGAGGCUUCAGUACAGCAGCUGAGGCCUUGGUGCAGCGUCACCUCCGGUUCUAGAGGCAGAGGCUUCAGUCGUGAGUGACUGGGCUCUCAGCCAGGCCCUCGGUCUGCUGAGAAAUGUCUUGGUUUCCUGGGUGAUUGGGGAAGAGUGGGGACAAAGGAGGGCUACCCCCCACCCCCCCCACACACACAUCACCAGGGUGCUUAUGGUGCCAUUUGUAGGGGGGUUUUCUGGUGGGUGGAGAGUGAAGGAGACCUUCUUCUGGCAGCUGUAGGCCCAAAUGGAAAAUUUAAUAGAUGGUGAAUUGAACUUGGCACAUUUGAUCUCGCAGACAUCUUGUCCUCAUGGUAAGCACAUAUCGCAGCUGCCAUCUUGGCUUUAUGUGUUUUAGACUAGACGGUGGCCAUUUCGGCCUUGUGGCACAGCAGUCAUUUUGUUUAGUUUGGUGGCCAUUUUGAGGGCCCCCUUAAUGCUAGCUAAUUCACAAUUAUUAUGGUCACCUCAUUAAUUCAAUCCUGAACUCUGAAUUAUCACUAGAGUUUUUCAGUGGUGAAUCCUCAAUACAGGUUCAGGAAGAAAUACAGGAUGAGGUUGUAGUUGAUAUAAAACUUCACAAUUUCACUAGUUUUUCCAAAAGGAAAAGGGCCAGCUUCAAAAAAAUCCAAGCCAAAGGACAUAGAUCAAUCCAGUUCAGAUUCAGACAGCAAGGAAAAAGGAGCUGAAUGGGCUUUAAUCUUAGCCAAAAUUGAAGAAUUUGAGAAGAGACAUGAGACAGCUACCCAGUCCAGUGGUAAUAAGAAACUGAGAGAGGAGAAUAAAAGUUUUAAAAAGUCUGCCUUGUCUCUUUCAGGAGCUAUUGAGGAGUGCAUGGAUGCAGAGGAAGUUGCCAGCCCCAGCAGUACACAACGUGAAGCUACGCGACCUGAAUCAGCAGUCGAUAACAAAGCAAUUACAACAUGUAAAGUAAUACAGAGAAAAUAA
rnacentral:lncRNA from 1 species